rnacentral:rRNA from 1 species
UCAAGAAUAUUCCUCAAUGGCCGAAAGGCUGAAGGAGCGACGCCGCGUGUAUGAUGAAGCCUUUCGGGGUGUAAAAUACUUUUAAUUGGGACGAAACAAUGACGGUACCAAUUGAAUAAGGGGCUGCUAACUUCGUGCCAGCAGCAGCGGUAAUACGAAGGCCCCAAGCGUUAUCCGGAUUUAUUGGGCGUAAAGGGUCCGUAGGUGGCCAAAUACAUCUCCUGUUAAAUCUAUCGGCUCAACCGAUAGGCUGCGGGAGAGAUGGUUUGGCUAGAGGCCGGAAGAGGUAAGCGGAAUUGCUGGUGUAGGGGUUAAAUCCGUUAAUAUCAGCAGGAACACCAAAUGCGAAGGCAGCUUACUAGAACGAGCCUGACACUAAUGGACGAAAGCGUGGGGAGCGAAUGGG